UCACCCGCUGCGGUGGCCCGGCUCCGCCGGAAGGGGGCGCCGCCGGGCCACAGCCCUGUUCUCCAGGCGCCCGCGCUCCCGCGCGCGGCAAAGGUGGGCGCGGAGAGGACUAGGCGAACCAAGCCCGGGACUGAACGGGCUGCUGGGUGUCUUGCCUCGCCGAGCCACACAGGGCUUCGCGGGCGCGAAAGGGCGAGAUUUGGGUCCCGUGCUAACAGUGGUCUGACCCGAGACUCAUCCAGGGAAAUGGAGUCACAGAGUUCGAGGACCGGGCAGCCUUGUCCGCAUCCCGCCCCCUCCCGUGUGCAAUUCCUCAGACAGGCCCAGGAAGUCGCCCAGGAACACACAGCUGGUCAGUUCCUGGGACAUAAACGUGCUGACAACUUUAUGUAUUUGUUACUCUGAAGUAACCAUGCCAAUGUCUACAUCAGCUGCUGUAAUUUGAGGCAGGAACCAUACAGACUGUUCUUCCAAGCAAUUCUCUAACGGUUUGCAUAACUGUCCUUCCGAGAGAGAGGGAGGAAAGCCACGUGCUCUAAGAACGAGGCAGGAAUUCUGAGUGGAAAAGGCCGGAGUGGGUCACAGGACGCCAGGGACCCACAGAAUAUCUCCUUCCGGGAAGCCAAAGGCUGGGUUGAUAUUUGCUGUCUUCCCAUUAGUUGGAGAUGAGACUUUGGUAAAAGACAGUCAUAAUUAUUCCAAGCAAAUGACAACUCGUAAGGGUGUAAUGCCCUCACUUGCAUUCUGCUGAUGGGUCCAAGUUGCAGGAGGCUGCCUGGCUCUGUGUUACGAUCUCAAAACACUUUAGAGACGGCACUGUUUUGCACCUCACCAACAUCUUGGGAUGCCAAGCGAACACAAGAUCACACCCUCCUAUGAUAAAGGAAACUGAGGUAGCAGAGAUAAAGGAUGCUUCCUACUGCCUCUUCCUCCUGCCCUUCUGAUCGGGCUGCCUCCAGGAGGACCUCAUCUCCACCCCUCUUCCGCGCAGAUGCAAGUGAUACCCAGGAGGCUGGGAACAGAAUAAAGUCCUCAUCAAGUACGACCUCAUUUACAUGGUCUAUGACUAUUACCUUAAAAACAAUGUUAAGUCAACCUCAGACACUCCUUAUAACACUCACAGAAACAUCUUCCCUGGUUGGGGAGAGAGAAAUCUGUACUGAAAUAAAAGCUAAUUGACAUGCCCUCCAAAAUAUAUGAGUUAUCCUUCAUUAGAGAUGAAAGGAAGGAGCCGUUUGCAGAUGACUGACUAGGAAGGCGGUGAUUUGAUUUAACCCCAAACAACUCUGCUAUGGGGCUCGUAAUCUCUGAGAGCAGGCUUUUAUAUGGGAAGUAGUGAAUCCAUUUUAGCUGCAACCAGGCAAUCAUAAGAAAGGCAAAACCAAGGCAGACCAGCAAAAUGCUUCUCUUAGAGCCACACGGAAGUUAAAAAUCCGACGGAACACUUUAUAAAGUCAUCAGAGCACUAGGGAGCUACUUUGUAGGCACCCCAGGUUUUUAAAAAUCUGUUAAUUUUAUGGCUCACCUAUAACACAGCUAGAGAUCUUUCGACCGGUGAGGGCUGGGAAGAACCAUGGAGAACCAGUUACAAUUCUUUAUAAUUCAGCCAGGAGGAGUGACACCUAGAGAGGCUUAGUGACUUACCCAAAGCCACCCAGCUGAUGAGUAACAGAGGGGACAGGUGCAUGCAGGUCUUUAGACCCCAUCACACUGGGCUACAGUCUACCGUGAUGCCAUCCACAAGGUGGACCAAACAGAUGUCCUAGGUGGACAGAUAUUUCCCUGUACAGGAAUCAGGCCAAGGGACCGGGGCCACAAACUCAAAUAACCUCACUUACCUUAGCCUCCUGAGAUCCACUGUGUGUGGUCUGCCUCUCUCAGUGCCACUCAGAUGCAAGGAUGGCUGUCAGUUUCAGGAGGGGCCUCCUCUAGCCAUCUUGACAUUUCAUUUAAAGGGUCGUAUAGCCAUAUAAAGUUACUUAGAAAAUUGUGUAGGACAGAAAUAAUGCUCUAAGAAUUAGACUCUGGCAUCAACCCUCUAGGCCUUUACAUGAGGAUAAGCUCGUAGUUUUGCAGCGUCUUAAAAAUCUGGGGAGGGACGGCUUGACUGGCCUUGGGGAACAGGGAGGAGCCGAGUGUUAGGAAUGAACUCUAAGAAGCACAGAGGGAGGCUUGGAGUUGUACUUGCUAAGGACUUCUGUUGUAGGAAGAACUUCAUUGCAUGUGGUUUUAGUUUAUCCCAGCAGGCAACUGUAGUUUUGACAUUUGUGAAAGUGUCAGAUCAGAAGGAGGGGCGCCUGGGUGGCUCAGUUGGUUAAGCAUCUGACUUCGGCUCAGGUCAUGAUCUCACGGUUCGUGGGUUCCAGCCCCGUGUCAGGCUCUGUGCUGACAGCUCGGAGCCUGGAGCCUGCUUCAGAUUCUGUGUCUCCCUCGCUCUCUGCUCCACCCCCACUCACACUCUCUCUCUUAAAAAUAAACAUUAAAAAGGAAGAAAGAAACCACUGGACUGUAUUCUCCUCUUACUCCUCCCAACCUACCCAAUAUAAACUUCUAAGAUGCCAGGUAACAUGGGACUUUCAUACGCAUUAAGAUCGCCUUCAUUUCCUUUUAAGUUCACACCGGUUCAGUAUCUGAUCCCAACAUUCCCAAAUGACAGGAGUACAUAUGUUUGAAACUUAAAUCAAAUACAGUUGAGCCUUGAACAACAUGGGGCUGAGGGGUGCCGACCCCCCCGCAGUUCAAAAUCCGCGCAUCCCCCAAAACUUAAAUACUAAAAGCCUACUGUUGACCGGAAGCCUUACCAGUAAUAGAGUCGAUUAACACCUAUUUUAUGUGUUAUAUGUAUUAUAUACUGUAUUCUUACAAUUAAGUAAGCUAGAGGGAAGGAAGUGUUAUUAAAACCACAAG